rnacentral:rRNA from 1 species
GGGGGGGGGGGGGGGGGGGGGGGGCGCGUGGGGGUCGGACGGCAGCGCGGGCUUCGGCCUGGCGGCGGGUGGCGAACGGGUGCGGACUGCAUCGGAACGUGCCCAGUAGUGGGGGAUAGCCCGGCGAAAGCCGGAUUAAUACCGCCUACGACCUGAGGGUGCCAGCGGGGGACCGAAGAGCCUCUCGCUAUUGGAGCGGCCGCUGUCGGAUUAGCUAGUUGGUGGGGUAAAGGCUUCCCAAGGCGACGAUCCGUAGCUGGUCUGAGAGGACGACCAGCCACACUGGGACUGAGACACGGCCCAGACUCCUACGGGAGGCAGCAGUGGGGAAUUUUGGACAAUGGGGGCAACCCUGAUCCAGCCAUGCCGCGUGCGGGAAGAAGGCCUUCGGGUUGUAAACCGCUUUUGUUCGGGAAGAAAUCCUCUGGGCUAAUACCCCGGGGGGAUGACGGUACCGGAAGAAUAAGCACCGGCUAACUACGUG